rnacentral:rRNA from 1 species
AGGGCACCACCAGGUGUGGAUCCUGCGGCUUAAUUUGACUCAACACGGGAAAACUCACCCGGCCCGGACACCGUGAGGAUUGACAGAUUGAUAGCUUUUUCAUGAUUCGGUGGUUGGUGGUGCAUGGCCGUUCUUAGUUGGUGGACUGAUUUGUCUGGUUAAUUCCGAUAACGAACGAGACUCUCGCCUACUAAAUAGACGGCGUAUCGAAACGUACGCCGAGCUUCUUAGAGGGACAAGCGGCGCCUAGCCGCAUGAAACAGAGCAAUAACAGGUCUGUGAUGCCCUUAGAUGUCCGGGGCUGCACGCGCGCUACACUGAAAGAAUCAGCGUGCGCGUACGCCUGGUCCGGAAGGACCGGGUAACCCGAUGAAAUUCUUUCGUGCUUGGGAUAGGGAAUUGAAAUUAUUUCCCUUGAACGAGGAAUUCCCAGUAAAUGCGGGUCAUAAGCUCGCGUUGAUUACGUCCCUGCCCUUUGUACACACCGCCCGUCGCUACUACCGAUUGGAUGACUUAGUG